UGGCUGUGUCUACAGGACAACAAAUGU
rnacentral:piRNA from 1 species